GGAGGGAGGCAGGGUGUCUCCAGAACACUUAGAAAUCUGCCUUCCUAAAUCAGGAUUCCUAAGGAAUGCCGCGAGGGGAGAUGGAGAGGAUACAUGCAGGGAUGUAUCUAUCGAGCCCAUUUCUGUGCCCACAUUUAAA